rnacentral:misc_RNA from 1 species
AGAUCCAAGAUUUUGUUCUUUGUCUUUUAUCAAGUAUUUUACAUACUACAUGGAGUAUAAGAUGUUUCGUAAAAUAUAUAAUUUGAACUUAGCAUCUGCUAGAUGUAUAUUUUUAUUAUCUCACAUGCUUAAGUGAAGAUUUUUGCUAAAAUAUAACACGUGGCAUUAUUUUUCUUUACUCCUUUUCAAGAGCUGAUACUUGAAGGUUGAUUUCAUUUCUUUUUCUUAUAUUUGAGAACAGUGUCAUAGAUGGAUAACAAAUUUUUUUCCUUAAAGCAUCAUCUUUUUUACUUUUCCUUUUGUGGUGAGGGGGAAGGUCUUCUUUCUUUAAAAUCAAGAGCCCUUACAUGAUCUUUGUGCGGAUUAAAGGGUCAGUAUCAGUGCUAUUCUUUUUAUUCCUAUUAUAAUUUGGAAUUUUUUUUGACAUUAGUGUGACUUAGUUGAGGGCAGUG